rnacentral:rRNA from 1 species
AAUUCGACGCAACGCGCAGAACCUUACCUAGGCUUGACAUCCCGGGAAUUUGCUGGAACAGUGAAGUGCUUUCAUUAGAAAGAGCCCGGUGACAGGUGCUGCAUGGCUGUCGUCAGCUCGUGUCGUGAGAUGUUGGGUUAAGUCCCGCAACGAGCGCAACCCUCGCCUUUAGUUGCCAGCAUUCAGUUGGGCACUCUAAAGGGACUGCCGGUGUCAAACCGGAGGAAGGUGGGAUGACGUCAAGUCCUCAUGGCCUUUAUGUCUAGGGCUACACACGUACUACAAUGGCAGGUACAAAGGGCAGCGACACAGCGAUGUGAUGCGAAUCCCGAAAAGCCUGUCUCAGUCCGGAUCGGAGUCUGCAACUCGACUCCGUGAAGUUGGAAUCGCUAGUAAUCGUGGAUCAGCAUGCCACGGUGAAUACGUUCCCGGGCCUU